AUGCUCGCUCGUCCCAGUCGCAUUGACCGCAUCGAACCACGACACGUGAGCACCCGUGGGUCGGCCUCCUCCACGCCAAGUCCCAGCGCGCCCCUUCGCGGCCUGCCCAACCUCCUUCCCACCGAACUGGGCCAUGGCCCAUGGCGUCUGUAGCGGCUACUGCCGCUCAUACCGCGGAGGUUUUUGGACUGAAUCAAAGUCUGGAGUGGGCCGAAGCGGAGCUUGGCCGGUUAAAAAGGCAGUUGGAAGAUCAACAAGUUUUACACAAAUCUUGUUUGCGUUUAGUGCGAACGAAUUUUCAGUAUGAUAGAAUAUGUGUCAUGAUUUGUGCCAGGGGUGAUGACCAAAGUCGAGGCUCUGAAGAAGGUUGUUGCCAAGCUGAGGAAAAGGCAGCCGCAGAGUAGGCUCUUCGUGAGAAGCACGAGGCCAAGGUUGUGGAAGCUAAGCGAGAGCUCCAAGAGGCCAUGAAAAAAUGCGAGACCCUGGAGCGGAGUUUAACGGAGAAAGAAUCCGAACUCGCCAGGUCUUAUCAGGCCGUGUGCGAUGCUCGUGGGGAAACCCAAGACGCCCUACAAGAGAUCCAAGAGGCGAGGGAGAUCACGGCGGAUUUCUCCAGGGAUAUUUGCGGAACUUCCUCGCAGCAUAUCGGAUGCCGCCCAAUUCUACCGAGCCGAAGAGGGGAAUACUAUGGAUAAGCUCUUCUGGCCGCAGUAUCUGGCACCGAAUUAUCCGGUGCCUUUUACCGAUCAACUGAA